rnacentral:rRNA from 1 species
UACAGAGGUCCCAAGCGUUGUUCGGAUUCACUGGGCGUAAAGGGGUGCGUAGGCGGUCGGGUAAGUCUGACGUGAAAUCUCCAAAGCUCAACUUGGAAAUGGCGUCGGAUACUAUUCGGCUCGAGGAAUGGAGGGGAGACUGGAAUUCUCGGUGUAGCAGUGAAAUGCGUAGAUAUCAGGAGGAACACCGGUGGCGAAGGCGGGUCUCUGGGCAACAACUGACGCUGAGGAGCGAAAGCGUGGGUAGCAAACAGG